GAUCCUGGCUCAGGAUGAACGCUAGCUACAGGCUUAACCCAUGCAAGUCGAGGGGCAGCAUCAUCAAAGCUUGCCUUGAUGGAUGGCGACCGGCGCACGGGUGAGUAACACGUAUCCAACCUGCCGACAACACUGGGAUAGCCUUUCGAAAGAAAGAUUAAUACCGGAUGGCAUAAUUAUUCCGCAUGGGAUAAUUAUUAAAGAAUUUCGGUUGUCGAUGGGGAUGCGUUCCAUUAGG
rnacentral:rRNA from 1 species